UACGUAGGGGGCGAGCGUUGUCCGGAUUUAUUGGGCGUAAAGAGCUCGUAGGCGGUUCGGUAAGUCGGAUGUGAAAUCUCCACGCUCAACGUGGAGGGGCCAUUCGAUACUGCCGUGACUCGAGUCAGGUAGGGGAGUGUGGAAUUCCCGGUGUAGCGGUGAAAUGCGCAGAGAUCGGGAGGAACACCCGUAGCGAAGGCGGCACUCUGGGCCGGUACUGACGCUGAGGAGCGAAAGCGUGGGGAGCGAACAGG
rnacentral:rRNA from 1 species